AACGCUGGCGGCGUGCUUAACACAUGCAAGUCGAGCGAUGAAGCUUCUUCGGAAGUGGAUUAGCGGCGGACGGGUGAGUAACACGUGGGUAACCUACCUCAUAGAGGGGAAUAGCCUUCCGAAAGGAAGAUUAAUACCGCAUAAGAUUGUAAUAUCGCAUGAUAUAGCAAUUAAAGGAGCAAUCCGCUAUGAGAUGGACCCGCGUCGCAUUAGCUAGUUGGUGAGGUAACGGCCCACCAAGGCGACGAUGCGUAGCCGACCUGAGAGGGUGAUCGGCCACAUUGGGACUGAGACACGGCCCAGACCCCUACGGGAGGCAGCAGUGGGGAAUAUUGCACAAUGGGGGAAACCCUGAUGCAGCCAACGCCGCGUGAGUGAUGACGGUCUUCGGAUUGUAAAGCUCUGUCUUCAGGGACGAUAAUGACGGUACCUGAGGAGGAAGCCACGGCUAACUACGUGCCAGCCGCAGC
rnacentral:rRNA from 1 species